UACGUAGGGUGCAAGCGUUAAUCGGAAUUACUGGGCGUAAAGCGUACGCAGGCGGUUGUGUAAGGCAGAUGUGAAAUCCCCGGGCUCAACCUGGGAACUGCAUUUGUGACUGCACAGCUGGAGUGCGGCAGAGGGGGAUGGAAUUCCGCGUGUAGCAGUGAAAUGCGUAGAUAUGCGGAGGAACACCGAUGGCGAAGGCAAUCCCCUGGGCCUGCACUGACGCUCAUGCACGAAAGCGUGGGGAGCAAACAGG
rnacentral:rRNA from 1 species